UGGAUCAAUAGAGUACAGGAGUUCUGGGCUAUGGUGCACUAUGCCAGUUGGGUGUCCGCACUAACUUUGGCAUCAUUGUGAUGACCUCCUGGGAGCCAAGGACCACCAGGUUGCCUAAGGAGGGGUGAACUGGCCCAGGUUGAAAACAGGGCAGAUCAGAA